rnacentral:rRNA from 1 species
UGGGGAAUAUUGCACAAUGGGCGCAAGCCUGAUGCAGCCAUGCCGCGUGUAUGAAGAAGGCCUUCGGGUUGUAAAGUACUUUCAGCGGGGAGGAAGGCGAUAAGGUUAAUAACCUUGUCGAUUGACGUUACCCGCAGAAGAAGCACCGGCUAACUCCGUGCCAGCAGCCGCGGUAAUACGGAGGGUGCAAGCGUUAAUCGGACUUACUGGGCGUAAAGCGCACGCAGGCGGUCUGUCAAGUCGGAUGUGAAAUCCCCGGGCUCAACCUGGGAACUGCAUUCGAAACUGGCAGGCUAGAGUCUUGUAGAGGGGGGUAGAAUUCCAGGUGUAGCGGUGAAAUGCGUAGAGAUCUGGAGGAAUACCGGUGGCGAAGGCGGCCCCCUGGACAAAGACUGACGCUCAGGUGCGAAAGCGUGGGGAGCAUACA